AUGGCACCUCUGAUCUUCAAAGCUUCGAGGAGGAAAAACCGAACGGUCCAUGAUGCCCUUACUGACCAUACCUGGGUAGCGGAUAUUGCGGUGGAGGCCUUCACGGCAGAGCACAUUGGCCAGUUCGUCCAGCUAUGGGAUCUCAUCUCAGAUAUCCAGCUCUCCCCAGAUAUAGAAGAUUCCAUCAUCUGGACCCUCUCCCCAAAUGGAUGCUACUCUGCGAGCUCCGCCUAUAAGGCGCAGUUCAUGACCGCGCUGCCUUGCUCCUUCGGCUCGAUUGUCUGGAAAACGUGGGCGCCUCCCAAAUGCCGCUUCUUCGCUUGGCUCGCCGUCCAAAAUCGCCUCUGGACCGCGGAUCGCCUGGCCAAACGUGGAUGGCCACACCAGCCCUCCUGCCAGCUAUGCCGGUGCUCCCCUGAGACGGCGAGACACAUGCUCUUUGAAUGCCGUUACUCCAAGAGGAUCUGGUCCGCGGCGGCAUCCUGGCUCUCCUGCCCGGAAUUACUGCUUAGCAUGGGCUCUGGUCGCCCCAAGGUGGUGGACUACUGGCAGGCCUUAGCUAGGUCGCCCUCUUCCUCUCCCAAAGGUCUAAAAACGGCUAUCAUGCUCAUCACCUGGGAAAUCUGGAAGGAAAGAAAUGAGAGAGUCUUCAACAAGAAAUCCUCUCUGCCGGUGGUGGUCAUGCACAAGAUAAGAGAGGUAGCAAAAGAUUGGAUUCUAGCGGGAGCAAAAAACCUGGCGGAUCUUGUGGGCUGA
rnacentral:rRNA from 1 species